CCAAAAUGGCCACUGCACUGAUCUUUAUAGGCCAAAACAGGCCUGAAAAUUAGCCCGAGACAGGCUGCGGCAGUGAUCUAAGAGGCUGGCGGGGGGACGGGGAACCUUUGCAGACACCCCCCCCCCCCGUGGCCUUUAGGAAGCCCCCCGAAGGGGCUACAGGGAAUAAGAUGGGAGAGACGAGGUGACUCUCUCUGGGCUGAGAGAACCGCUUCACCACAUGGGCACAGAGGUGAUUUCAGGAUUGGCAGUGGCCCUUUGGAAAGCCCUGAGCCCUCAACAUCUGGUCAAGUAUGCUGAACCCUGAUCCUGGGCCUGCAGUGAGGACAACGCAACUAGAGUACAGACCCUGGCAAAAAGGACAUAUGCUGACAACACAACAAGCAGAGAAAGAAACCAAGCAAAUAGUUACGAUAGGAAAAUGAAUAUGUAAAGAAGAAGAAAGCAGAAACACAUAGCAGAAAUCAGCCAAAGGAGCAAUGAGGCUGUUUGAUGAAAAAAGUGUCAACGGAGUUCAGAAAGAAGAGCUGCUAAGUGAAUGAAUUCUUUUGUGCCCAUCGUUAUUGCACUCAAGACGGGCGAAAGUUAUACUCUGGCCACUAAAGGUAUCCUGGUUUACAUGGCAUCCAGCAUGAGGAUUAAAGAUCUCAGUCAAUACUGGUCUUGGUUUCUAUUUCUCACGUGGACUACAAUUCCUUUGUAGCCUGAUGCUGAACUGAAGCACAGACCUUCAUCUUCUGACCUCAAAAGAUGACCUGAGAUUAGCUUGAUAAAAGUCACCAACAUUCUGAGAAGCAAAACAUCCGUCUUCAGCCAGGUCUAUGAGCACUGCAGCCAUGCUGAAGAAGACCAUCAACUCAUGAAGGCUGUAAUCCAUGGUGCACUUACUCCCAUUUAACUGAACAAGAAUUACUUCUGAGUAAACAUGCAAAAGAUCAGACUGAACAGCAGGGGGGAAGGGAGGAAAGAACUUUUGAGUGGGAAAUAUGAGUUAUUAGGUGUGGGGGGGUUGUCCGUAAAAUAAAGGUAGGGGGAGCUCUUCAAAUGCUUUGGAGAGUUCUUCAACCUUGCUGAAAAAAACUUUAAAGAGACAGAAGGCCCUGGAUUGUCUACACUGCACAGUUGUACCAAAGAAGUCAUCUGUUCAACCUAGGUAGGUGACAUAACAAUGUUUGAUUGGACUUACAUCUAUUCUUUCUUACAAAAUUGGGAAGUGUGACUGAGAUGUUGUUGUUUGAAAGGAUGUUUUAGAUCUGUGGUUCAGUUUUGCCUGAAUUGUUCUGAUUUUUCAAGCUAUUUUCUAAAACCACAAAACACUCUCUUCAACAAAUCUGAAACCAACAAUUCAUUAUGAUAUCUGAGCUUCUUGCCCAAAAUAUUUUGUUAGGUUAAUUGAAACCAACCCAUUACUCCUCACAAAUAUUUCAAAGACUCUAACUUGCAGUGCGGGCCAUCAAUAUAUUUCUGCCUGAAGUAAAACGUCAGCGAUGUUCCCGCCACCUAUUUUUAAUGGUCGAUAGAGAUGAGGCAUGGAUACAGGCAAAGGCCACCCCUCUGGGGUGGUCUGCUGGCCAAAUAACAUCACUUGGUGGGGAGGUCUGAUCCGCUGAAGGAAUACCCCAACCCCACAUUUCAGGAACCUGUUCUCAGGAACAUAUUCUACGGCAUCUAGCUGUAUGAUUUAUGAUUCCAUCUAGCUAUAUGAGUGACUGACCCCUAGUGUGGCUACAGCUGGGAUGCAGACCUUCUGCACUGUAUUCAUGUCUUAUUAUUGCAUGGAUGUUAUUUCUUUAUUUACUUGAAAUAUUUAUG